UAUGCUUCUUGGCUUUUUGGCUAAGAUCAAGUGUAGUAUCUGGUCUUAUCAGAAAAAUCCAAUUUUCUGUUACCAAACCAAUGCGAUACUUUUCUACAGUUCUGGCCCACAUAAUUGUUCAGAUUGGGAGCUCUUUUGUAAACUUCACAAUUUCCAAGUACUAAUU
ensembl:snRNA U2 U2 spliceosomal RNA